CUUUAUGGAGUCUUUCCUGUGAACCUAGAUCUUUGGAUACAGUGACUUUCUUCUGUGACAAAAGCCUUCAUCUGCAGAAGAUGCCACUUGAUUUUGUUGGCUGUGCUUGCAAUCUAGGCAUCUGGACCACCGUUGAUUUCACUGGUAGAGAUCAAGGGGCAAAAAAGAUAUCUUUGCAUUAGCUGUCCUAGCAGUGCAACUAACUUUGCAGCAAAGAUGGAAAAAAGCCACUUCCAGUGAAUGCGACUACUGCUUUUUGUUUGCUUCAUUUCUGUGUUAUAAACAAAGACUGAACAAAUGCUGGAGUUUUUAAACUGUAUUUUAGCCAGUGCAGCAAGACUGUGACAUCAUUUUGCUUCACACAUUUUCCUGAGGGGAUGUUGACUAGGCUGGCAGCCCAUGCUGAGGUUAUGUUCUCCUUAAGCUUGUUCACCUUCACAGUAUCAGUAAAAGAAAUCCUGAGGAGUGUGACAGUGUGGACACCAUCAUGCUUUCGUCAUAUCUGAACUGUCCUUACUCUGAAUUCUUUUCAAGAAUUAAAUGUCUUCUCCUACAUAGUCUCAAGGCAAAGCUACACUGUAAAGCUGAGCCAGGACAUGCACUCCUUUCUGAUGUGCUGUAGAAAUACUGUGCUGACUUAAUAAUGGUAUUUGCAUCUUUGACUCCAGAACCUCUGAAACCACUUUGUUAUCAACCCAGAAGUACAAUCCUUAGAGAUCAACAGAGUUCUCUAUCUGUGAGGGCAGCGUAAGAGAGCUGCUAAUACAAACACAAAUUAGUCCUUGCAAAUUAAUACAAAAGUUGGCGUGAAGAUUCAGAAUUUUAUCUUUACUACUAUGUUUUCAGAGCUACUUCUAAAUAGUAUAUGGCUUAUACUAUAAUCACAAACUGCUAUGUGUUAAGAUCUGCAAAAUGUUAUGGCUUCAGCAAAGCCAAGCUCCAGCAGAGGCUGAGCCACGUACAUCGUUUCCAUGAACUCUCUUAAGCAUCCAUUUGGGAGCCAGAGAUCACUGGAACCCAGCCAAGGAGCCAUGCAGCCACUUCUUGACAACACCUCCUGGUAGGAAGGGUUGAGUAAAGUGACUAUAAAAGGAAGGAAAGUAUCUGAUGGAAAGUAUUAGUCCUAUUCUGCAAGGUCAGGUGAGACAUCAAGAAGAUAGCAUCUGCUGUCAGCCACAUUCCAGGAUGGGUGAAAUCAGCCCAGGACAAGGCUCACAGAAGGGCUGAUGCGCAGCAGUGAGCAGAGGAACAGAAUGCUCGUCAUCCAAGGGGCACCUAAGAGAGGCUGGCUCAGAGAGGACACCAGGGAAUGAACAUAGUUCUCAAGGUGGCACAGCCUCAAUUUACCAAUAAGACAUUUUUGGGACCUGUGGGAAGGGGAGCUUGGUACUGCAGUCCUGCGUUUGUGUGGAAGCCCAGGCCAAAUAGUAAGUCAGAAGAGUCAAACAGCUGGAUUCACUUAGGCUGGUUUUUAGAUGCCAGUGGUGGUUGUCUGAAGCAAAUUCUCAAACUCCAGUCCCUGUCAGUUCUUUGCAAGAUGAGCAAGGGAGACCCGAAGACCAGAUGGAGCUGGGGGAGAGAUGUCACAGUGUUAUCUCCACAGAAGGAACAGCAGAAGACAGGGUGAUCACAAACACAUGGUGUUUCCCUGGCUGAGCACAGAAACCCAUCCUCUUCAGAAACUUCACAUUUAGUGCCUUAGGGAGUUUUCAAUGCCACAUUUCUGCACAACUGCCCCUCUUCAGUGUAUGUGAAUUGAAUCUGUCUGCUGACACUGACACCUGGAUAUCAGUUCAACAAGCAGAAGAAAUCCUACCUUCCUUGUAAAGGAGGUAUUCUGGGAUGCAAUACAUGUGGGACUCGCACUUAGUUUGGUUCGUCAGGGCAUUUUGUUCAUACAGCCUUUUCUAAGAUUGAUUAAGCAACGGUAUUACUGAUUAAGAUCUCUAUUCUGUCACAGGAUUAUUGGACUGAUUUUUGCUCUGUGCACUCAGGCAGUGUUUAAUGUCUACCUAUUAUGCUAUUUCUACUGUCACAUAAAGUGAGUGAACUGGGAUUGGUACAACUUGAGUAAUUGCUGGAACCAGGAACUACUUCCACUCAAAAUAAUCUGUUUGGCUAUUAGGGUAUCACGUGGUUAAAAACACCAAGAGCUCUUUUGUUUUCACAUUUUCCACCUCGUUAUUCAUUUUUGCCACUGAAAAGAUACGACAGCAGACAGGAGCUGUACUGAAUGAUUACAGGGUCCAGAAUUGUAUCACUUUUUGGAAAGUGAGUCUAAUGGGUAACUUGUGCUUUAAGUGUGUCACGCGUCAGGACUGGGGAAUGCUAAUGCAAUGUAUUCCAGUAGUUUCGGGUGCUGUCUUUCUCUAGUUUAAAAAGCAGAAACAAAUCUCUGUGCUGGAAGGAGGUGACAGUGUUUAUCUUAUAGCAUGUAUUUUUAAAUAAAGCAAGGCAGAAUAUU